rnacentral:rRNA from 1 species
UCUACCCUGAUUGUGCCUGAUCUCAUCUGAUCUCAGAACAUAAGCAGGUUUGA